UCAGUAGUUUUGAGGUGAAACCCAGAAAUCUGUAUUUUAAUGAGCAGCUGGGUAGUUCAUAUGCUUCACUUUGGGGAAAAGGGGUUUGGCGGUGGCAAGAUGGUAUUGGACCAUAUGACAUUGAGCCUUUGGGAAUUUCUUUACAGGAUCUCUUACAAGGAAACUUUAUUAUACAUAAAAUAGCUGCCAACAAAGCUGUGCCAGCUGAGGCCGAGGGGGUCUGCAGGGCUCCAAGCUGACCUCUCUUCUACUUCAUCCCCUGAGGAAGCACCUAAGGUGAAGUUGAGCCCCAGGGAAAGGAAGUGACUUCCAUAGAGCCGGUUAGAGACAUCACUGGGUGAUUACCUGGCUCUACUCUCAGGCCACUGAGAUUUUCCAGACAGCUCAUUAGAAUACCAGUGUCCAAGGUGAGGCUACUAGAAGUUCUGGGGGACAGAGGGAUGAGCUAUGGCCUUAUAAAUAAGUUUAGGCAACACUGGGUAUAGCCUAGUUAACCAGUUUUCUUUAUUGCAGGAUUUCAUAGCCCCCUGAAUAUUCUAAUGGGAGCUGUGAAUCUCCAAUAAAAGUUAUAGAGGCAGAAUUUUGCAAACUCAUUUAAUAAUAGACAGUUUCUCCUCCUUUGUAACGUAUCCAUGUCUCAGCAGACACUAUUGUAAGGAGUACUGUUUGGGGGGAUUGCUGUGAUAUACUGUCCUUGCCCUGAGACCAGCCAGAGAAAGGGCAUAGUCACCAAAGACUAGAGUCCUCAGCAGGUUGUCAAUCACAUAGACUUGCUCUAGACCAGCCAACUCUGACAGCUAGGCUGCCACACCUGGGCUCCAGGUGGACCAGUGUGACCCAUCCCACGAGAAGGAAGCCACAGGCCAGAAACAUUAGUGACCUGGCUGACAGAGUGGCUAUCAGCCCGACUCCCGCUGGAUGCAGAAAUUCAGCUCUCAGAAUUGCUCAGCCUACAGGACAGCAUCGAGGAUGUCAGGAAGGCAUAAUUGGCCCAGUGUCCCAUUGAAGACCCCAGGACUACGAUGGGCAAGGAGAGAGCCAAGGAAGAGCCAUGGAGGAGGCAGUUACUGAGGAGCACUCCUCAGCCCCCUGCUAUUGGAGCAGAUGCAUUACCAGGGAAAUCAACAGAGCCAAGGGGUGCUGGGGCCUCGGUCACCAGACGGGUCAGGGGCUGGCUAGCUAGCUGGUCAAGGGGAAAUUAUGCUGGCAACUUUGCCUUUUCUGCCCAUUUUCAAAGCUGUGAUUUGUGGACCUUCGCAGCCCAUCCUCUGAAGGCUACCUGCAAGUGAGCAAUGUACGCUCUGCCACAGAGGAGUCGGAGGCCGGGUAGCGACAGGAGGCUAGAAGGGAAGCAGGCACUAAAUCAGAGUCUGGGAAAAUAGAAAGGUUGAUUCAAACCAACCGUGAUCAGGUCCCUGUCAUAUAACCUUAGUUCUGAAGCAGAUCACCCAGGGAAGGUUCCCAGGGAGGGCAUGAGCUGAGCUACCACCAAGGAGGGUACUUCUCAUGGCUGGGUGCUUGCAGGGUGGUGUGGCCUGCAGGCACACAGCCCGGGAUGGACUGGAAGGCCCUGCCACCCAGGUUAACCUGUAUGGUGGACAAGGCACCAAGCCCA